GAUCCUGGCUCAGGAUAAACGCUGGCGGCGUGCAUAACACAUCAAGUCGAACGGAGUGCCAAGUAGCAAUAUGAAGCAACUUAGUGGCGGACGGGUGAGUAACGCAUGAGCAACCUGCCCUUGUGAGCGGAAUAACGUCGGGAAACCGACGCUAAUACGGCAUAACGCACAGAUACCGCAUGGUGACUGUGUCAAAGAUUUUAUCGCACAAGGAUGGGCUCGUGUCCGAUUAGUCAGUUGGUGAGGUAACGGCUCACCAAAACCGCGAUCGGUAGCCGGACUGAGAGGUUGAACGGCCACAUUGGAACUGAGAAACGGUCCAGACUCCUACGGGAGGCAGCAGUGGGGAAUAUUGGGCAAUGGGCGAAAGCCUGACCCAAGCGACGCCGCGUGAGGGAAGAAGGUCUUCGGAUUGUAAACCUCUGUUGACAGGGACGAAAGCGGGGCAACCCGCGUGACGGUACUUGUCGAGGAAGCCACGACUAACUACGUGCCAGCAGCGGC
rnacentral:rRNA from 1 species